rnacentral:rRNA from 1 species
UACGUAGGGUGCGAGCGUUAAUCGGAAUUACUGGGCGUAAAGCGUGCGCAGGCGGUGAUGUAAGACAGGUGUGAAAGCCCCGGGCUCAACCUGGGAAUUGCAUUCGAGACUGAAUAGCUAGGGUACGGUAGAGGGAAGUGGAAUUUCCGGUGUAGCGGUGAAAUGCGUAGAUAUCGGAAGGAACAUCAGUGGCGAAAGCGACUUCCUGGACCAGUACCGACGUUCAGGCACGAAAGCGUGGGGAGCAAACAGG